rnacentral:rRNA from 1 species
UACGUAGGGUGCAAGCGUUAAUCGGAAUUACUGGGCGUAAAGCGUGCGCAGGCGGCUUUGCAAGACAGAUGUGAAAUCCCCGGGCCCAACCUGGGAACUGCAUUUGUGACUGCAUGGCUAGAGUGCGGCAGAGGGGGAUGGAAUUCCGCGUGUAGCAGUGAAAUGCGUAGAUAUGCGGAGGAACACCGAUGGCGAAGGCAAUCCCCUGGGCCUGCACUGACGCUCAUGCACGAAAGCGUGGGGAGCAAACAGG